GGGAGUUGUUGAUUUCACGAAGAGACCUCGCGGCCCGCUCCAGCGUAUCUGGGUUGAAGUCGCCGGAGGCGGCGGAAGACGAGGAGGGAGGAUCGCUAGGGUUAGCAGCGGGCGGGGGACUCCGGGCGGACGGGGUGAGGAAGCGGAAGGGGCUGUCGGCGUAAGCGCGGUCGGAGAGGACAGCGAGCGCGGCGGCGGUUGUCGCCGCCGCCGCGACGGUGGC
rnacentral:misc_RNA from 1 species